UUAGCUCCAGGAGGUAGGAGUCCUAUUAAGGCUCUGCCACCCACUGACUGUGUCCCCUUAAAUACGCCACAUAACUGUUCUCGUUUCGGUUUCUAUGUCUAUAAAAUGAAGUGGCUCUCCAGAUGUCUUGGGGGACAUAGAGCUAGCUGGUUGGGCAUCUCCUGUGUUGUUGUUCACAUUAUGGUGAUCUGCCUUAUGCUAAUUUCGUGCCUAAUGCCAUGAAAGAAAGGGUUUUUUUUUUCUAUUUUACUCUAUGGAUCUAGCAUAACGAGCUCCCCAGAGCAAUAUAAAUAACUGCUUACUAUGGCAGUGAACUUCCUCACAGCAAAAAUAUAGAUUCAGACAAUGAGGAAAUAUUUGUAAGAUAUUGAUGUGAACACGGAACCUGUCUCCUUAAAGCAAGCCAAACUGCCAUUCAAAUAUUGUAGCAUAACAAAAAUAUCUUAGGGCCCACAAAGCCUCACAUUAAAAUUGUUCUUGGAGGAAGUAUUCAACUGAAAAGUGGUACUUCGGAGGGCAGUGCAAGAAAUGCUAGAACAACAGGCCAUCAGAUACCUGGAUCAAGUUCAUUACAGGAAUUUUCUUAAAGUUGGGGAAAGGAAAUUCCUCCAGAACAAAAUAUCAUCACACUUGCACAAGUCCAAAAAAGAACCUACUCCUUUGGAAUUGCAACAUGGACUGAAAACUGGCAGCCCUCUAGGACCUACAUGCCACGCCAGCACCAGAUCGGAAUUGUUGAGACAUCCAGUCUCAUGUACUAAACAACUCCUGAACCGUUGGCCUUCCCAUCAGGAGACAGCCAUUGUUGAACUUCUCGGACUGCAAUCUGUUAACCACUCAAAUAGAUCCCAUAUGUGUGUGCGUGUAUAUGUAUGAGAGAGCUUGGCCUCAUGAACGCUCAUGAAUGCUUCCCAGAAACAAUCUCAUUCCUUGAGCUGUCCCAAGCAAUACUGACCUGGUGACUCUACCUGGCACCCACUCCAAGACUCAUAAAUCUCUAGGUGGUUUUGAAUGAAGAGAAUUUCCCCAGACCGUUGGCCUGACCAGCCUGGUGCCCUGUUGCCUGAAUGUUGCCUGGCUUUAAAAAGUGAGGCAAAGGUAGCUUAUCCAAUAAUUGCAGCAAUGCUUGUCAACCACCCAUCCAUCUGAAGAUGCACAAAAAAACACCUUAUCUCCUUCCUGGAAUGCCGAGCCCUCCAGUAACUAAGAUUGUCACCAAGUAUAUUUUGUAAUUUGUGCCCAAAUACUAUGGAAAUGGGAGUUGCAAUAAAGACAAAGUCCAUUUCCUUGUGAACAAAGGGACAGCUUACUACCAAAAGGCAAAGGCUCCAGAGUGCGAGAACAAGUGGAUUUGCAUAGGAGCCCCGCUCCCGCUCCCACUCCCGCUCCCACUCCCGCUCCCACUCCCGAGAAGCUUUUAGUCGCAGGUGCAGCUGGAGAGCUCAAAGCUGCAUGUUUUGUUUUAGUCUGAGAGGAUGGGAACUUGAACCAAUGGACGAAUGAAUAAGAUAAGAUGAAAAGGACAGAAAGGUGAGAGGAAGAAGAAGAAAAGCAUGAGAAGGAGACCUUAAAAAAAAAAAAAACCUCAAAAUUGUAGGCAUCCUUAAAUUCCAAAGGGAAAAGAAACGUGCCUCCGAAAACAAAGCAAUUGAUUCAAUUAAGCAGAAAGGCCACGUGGGUCUUUAUUGGCCAUGUUAACACCAGUGAAUGAAGUAAGCCAAGCCUUGUUUCUGUAGGCCACACGCUAAAAUCGCCCACUCCCUAGGAUUAUGAUGUCCCCUGCCUCAGGUAAUUCCUUCGCCACCAAAGUAUACAAUGCCUAGCACACAGAAAAGUCUCUAUAAAAGAUGGCAUUACUAUUGUCACAAUUUUUGCUAAUAUUAAAUAUGGAGGCUUUUGACUUGAGCUAUGUGUCUUCUAGUAUGAGUGAGAGAAAAUUCCAUGAAUGUAAUAAAUAAAGCAUAUGCAUGCACCUGUACCCACAAACACACACACUAUCAGUAAAUCAACAUAAGUGCCUUUUCCCCUAAAACUGAACUAAAUCACCCUUAGUACAUGUCCCACACGCAGACACAAGCACGCUGAGACAGGAGUAGUGAGGUGGAAGAGUGGAGGUAAAACAACUCUAAGAAUUCCACGUUUUUGCUCCCACAGUCAAUACAAGAGGAGUUCUGGAGCUCUGGCUACAUAUAAGGAACUCCUGUGGGCUCUGCACAAACUAGCUCAUGCAGUAUUCUUAAUAAUUUUUGAAGCAUUAGCCUCGUCUCACACAUCUAGAAACAGACAUAAUGGGGCUAAGAAACUUGGCUAGUGGAUCUUGUUCAGAAAGAGGAGAAUCCAGGAUCCAAUGUGAGCUGGCGUGACAGCUCUCAACCCCAAAUCACACUGCUGCUCUACUACAGAAAUGAGCCUCGGACGAUCCAUCAAACAUCACUUGGAUUUCCUCACAGUGAAAAAGCAGAAACUGAGCCCAGAGAGACCCAGGUUCUCAAGGACUGAGAAUGAGGGAUGCCCCACAGGGAAAGGAAAUUGAUCUGACUUUACAGACACUGUGGAUAAUUGGAGGCACCACCAUCAUCACGUGUGUCUGGGGCAGGACCAUGAAGCUGCAGAGAAGACAUCUUGGGGAAGAAACAAAAGUCCAACCAAUUACAGCCUACUCCCUUCUCUCCUACCACCAGGCCUACAACAGCACUUCGAUUUUCAUACACCCAUUUUAUAUGUGGGAAAACUAAACCUCAGAGAGAGUAAGCAAUGUGUCCAAAGUCACCUAGUUAGGCGAGAAAGGACCGGAACCUGACGACGAAAUAAAAUGGUGACAUGACCCAUGCUCCGGAAAUAUCCAGCCUUAGCAAUUUUCAAGUGAUAUUUGGUAAUGCUGAUAAUCAUAGUGGUGGUGGUUCAAGAAAUGCUAAAUAAGAGGGAAAAAUCAUUUUAGAAAAAUACAUGUUGUUUACAUAAAUAACAGGAAAAAAAAUCAUUUUAGAAAAUACUUGUUGUUUACACUACCAGCCCGGAAAGGAAGAGGGUGACACGUGGCACCGAGGGCAGGUAUUGCGAUUACUCUCCCCGUCAGCCUGACAAUUCAGAAUCACACGUUCAGAAUGUGUUACUCUGUGGGAGGGUGUCUGCAAGAGAGUUUCUAGAAAGGUUUAACCGAAGAAUGGAGAUCCACCCUUAAUGUGGGUGGCACCAUCCAGUAGAGUGGGCUUCAAGAAGAGAAAGACCAGGACAGUUGCAGUAAGAUAGUG